GCAGUAUAUUCUUUGUAAAAGCGUGAUGGAGAACAGAUUACUGUGUCUGACACUAUUUUACAUACACAAUCAAUUUUUAACACCGCAUCUGACAUACCUGUUGAAUUUCGGAUAAAACUUUUUUUAUUGUUAUUGAUCUUAAUAUCUUCUACUCGGGGCAAAUCGUUAUUUUAAGAUCUAAGAGUUUUGAUUUUUAACCUUAAAAUCGGACGGGUAUAUCAUAUAGCAUUCUUAGGUAC